ACGGGUGGCCCUCUUUCUGCA
rnacentral:miRNA from 1 species